CAGAGUAGGAAUGAGCGCGUUAAGUGCCGCAGGAUGGGAAGUUGCCUGCGGACGAAAGGGCUCCCGCCUCGGGGAGUUCUGCGGUGCUCACUCCGCGUCCGCUGC
rnacentral:ncRNA from 1 species